GCGGACGGGUGAGUAAUGCCUAGGAAAUUGCCUUGAUGUGGGGGAUAACCAUUGGAAACGAUGGCUAAUACCGCAUAAUGCCUACGGGCCAAAGAGGGGGACCUUCGGGCCUCUCGCGUCAAGAUAUGCCUAGGUGGGAUUAGCUAGUUGGUGAGGUAAUGGCUCACCAAGGCGACGAUCCCUAGCUGGUCUGAGAGGAUGAUCAGCCACACUGGAACUGAGACACGGUCCAGACUCCUACGGGAGGCAGCAGUGGGGAAUAUUGCACAAUGGGCGAAAGCCUGAUGCAGCCAUGCCGCGUGUAUGAAGAAGGCCUUCGGGUUGUAAAGUACUUUCAGUUGUGAGGAAGGGNGNNNNGUUAAUAGCGCUAUCUCUUGACGUUAGCAACAGAAGAAGCACCGGCUAACUCCGUGCCAGCAGCCGCGGUAAUACGGAGGGUGCGAGCGUUAAUCGGAAUUACUGGGCGUAAAGCGCAUGCAGGUGGUUCAUUAAGUCAGAUGUGAAAGCCCGGGGCUCAACCUCGGAACUGCAUUUGANACUGGUGAACUAGAGUACUGUAGAGGGGGGUAGAAUUUCAGGUGUAGCGGUGAAAUGCGUAGAGAUCUGAAGGAAUACCAGUGGCGAAGGCGGCCCCCUGGACAGAUACUGACACUCAGAUGCGAAAGCGUGGGGAGCAAACAGGAUUAGAUACCCUGNNAGUCCACGCCGUAAACGAUGUCUACUU
rnacentral:rRNA from 1 species